rfam:Stegodyphus mimosarum contig24157, whole genome shotgun sequence.
GCUUUCGUGGUGUAGUAGUCAGCACACCCGACACGUAACCGAGAGGUCCGUGGUUCGAUUCCCGGCGAAAUCG